rnacentral:tRNA from 1 species
AUCUUCUUAGUAUAAUUAGUACUACUGACUUCCAAUCAGUAAGAUCCNAAUUAAUAGCGGAAGAGGAUA